AUUUAAAGUGCUGUUGGCUCAGUUGUGGAUUAGCUGGUUCAGACAAGCCUGCAGGCGGAUCCCAUUAGCACCCACCUUUGUGAAGCCUUGCUGGGACCUGCAGGGCUGCAGCUGGAAUGGCAGCAGAGUCAGCAGUGCCAACACCCACACAGGGCCCGAUCCGCACUCCCACACAUGUAAAGACCAGAGAGUAUGAAGAACCAGGCAGUGCAAUGCCAUAGGUAUCCAUUUGUCUCUUUUUCUAGGAUAUUUACAACUUUUUUCUCCCUUACUUUUAGCAAAUGCAUGGACUGCUUGAUAAUUUUUCAGGAAGAUUCUUGUCUGGUUACUAAAAAGUUUCUUUCUGUGAAAGCUUUUAAUAAUUGACAUCCAGCCUGGAAAACCACUGUGAGGGACGUUAUCUUUUCAGCUGUGCUGUGUGGGGCUUAGACCCCGCUCGCCAGACUGCUCAAGGCUCUUCCUUAACUAUUAGGUCUUGCUCUGCACAGCUCUCAGGUGCAGGCAGCACAAGCAGACGGUGGCUGUGAGGCCCUGUGCUCGGGUACAGGCAGAGCUCAUCAAAGGUGAAGCACGUACUGAAGGAUAAGCAGCUGCACAUUGCUAGGAAGCAUUAAAAAAUACAGAUACCUCCCUUCAGAAAUAAGGAGCAGAAGGAAAACAUCCAAGCAGAAGAAUCAGAAGGCAAAGAAAAGGGAAUGGAUGGGGAUUGCAACUGAAAAAUUAAUGAGGAGAGACCUCAUUUCACAAAGCUUAUAUAAAGUCGGACUGCAUCUGUGUGAGGAACAGUGACCCAGAAAAGAGAGAUCUGUAAAAAUUCAGGGCAAGGUGCAAAACUUGGUAUCCUCUUUCCCUCCGAGACACACCUACACUCACACGCAAGGAUCCUUUGCUCCAGGCCACUGCAAACACCUCUGUGACGUCCCCCCAUCCCUGCAGCAGGCCCUGGCUGAAGCAGCAGGGCGCAGUGCUCACAGAGGUGAGUCUGGAAAGCUGUGCUGUGAGCUCAGGAACGAUUGUCUCACAUUUGUCAGGGGAUAUCAAAUCUCCUUACGUACCCUAUUUACUUUUUACUGUCUGCUCACUAUGCACUUUUGUUUGUCGUUAGCUUCUGCAUGAGGUGAAGCACUGCUGCUCCCCAUCCUGCUGCCUGGAGAGAAUUCCCUUCCAGGAGAGUCUAGGGUUGUUCCCAAGUGAACUGCUAAAAUCUGUGUUUGUGGUGUGUCAGAGCAGCAGAAGUCUGCAGGAAGUCACCCAACUGAAAAGAAAAUCAAACCAAAUGAUGACACUUAGAUAGAGCUAAAAAGAGUGAGUAAUAUGUCUCAUUACUUUACAGUGAAAACCCUCAGUGGCAUAACCUUACACAGCCAGGCACAGAAAAAACGACCUUUUGCACCUUGCAGGACAGGGCUGGGAUUCUCACCCCAAAUGUCUGCUCCCUCAGUGCCUGACAAAGAGAGCUCUUCAGGUCUCCCUGGAGGAGAGAGGGAUAUCUCCAGCCGUGCCACAUCAGCACGCAAGAUUGAACUGCACCUUGUCUGCUUGCCUGUUGCCUUGAGCAGAAGCUCAAGGGGAAUUAUUUAAAAUGAAGACUGCUUUCUAUAUUAAGCACAUCUCAGGUAAUACUGAGCAGCUCACCCUCUACUAUUAAUGGGUCUCCAGGUAUUAGCGCAGCACUUCUCUCUCCUAUUAAUUUCUCCUGUCAAUCUUUGCCUCACAGUUCAAAAAAAGGGAUCGAGGCAUCAUCUGCUAUCACGUAGCAUAGGCUUCUCCUCUGAGCAGCAUUGCCUGGUAGCAGCCAGCCUAACGUGAUUGUUUCCAAACCAGAAAGGACAGCUGUCACUUGCCUCCCCAGAACGCACUCAAAGGGUAUAAUCAAGAAAUCUUCUUGAAGAAGUUGUUCAAAGCUGCACUUACCAAAUGACUGUUAAGACAAUAAACUAGUUAAUUUGCUCUAAUGGACAGGUGCAGUGUGAGUAUUUAGUGUCUCAUUAAUAUUGUCUGGCAAUACUUAAAAGAAUCCGAAUGUUAGCUGCUAGACUGGCAGAACAUAAAGCACUGAUGAUAAAUAUUUGUACUUCUACAAGCAGUUAAUUCCAGUUUAGUUACCAACUGCAAUUAGAAGUGUUUAAAACUUACACUUUGCAAAUCUUCAUCUUUCCCUUUCAGAUGCUCCUUGUUAGCUCUCACAAGGUGCCACCACACCAUGGUAUGGAUUUCUACUGUAGAAACUCACCUGGAUCUUCCCUACAUUUGGCACCAACUCAUUCUACCCACUCCUGACUCCUCUACUUUAGCCAACAUGAUGAAAUAAAGCCAGUUUUUGCAGGGUAAGGCUGAGGAUGAUUAUUCCACGUACAGACUGGGAGCACA